rnacentral:rRNA from 1 species
AGUGAACGCUGGCGGUAGGCCUAACACAUGCAAGUCGAACGGCAGCACAGUAAGAGCUUGCUCUUACGGGUGGCGAGUGGCGGACGGGUGAGGAAUACAUCGGAAUCUACUUUUUCGUGGGGGAUAACGUAGGGAAACUUACGCUAAUACCGCAUACGACCUACGGGUGAAAGCAGGGGAUCUUCGGACCUUGCGCGAUUGAAUGAGCCGAUGUCGGAUUAGCUAGUUGGCGGGGUAAAGGCCCACCAAGGCGACGAUCCGUAGCUGGUCUGAGAGGAUGAUCAGCCACACUGGAACUGAUACACGGUCCAGACUCCUACGGGAGGCAGCAGUGGGGAAUAUUGGACAAUGGGCGCAAGCCUGAUCCAGCCAUACUGCGUGGGUGAAGAAGGCCUUCGGGUUGUAAAGCCCUUUUGUUGGGAAAGAAAAGCAGCAGGUUAAUACCCCGCUGUUCUGACGGUACCCAAAGAAUAAGCACCGGCUAACUUCGUG